rnacentral:lncRNA from 1 species
UGUGCCUGCCCUCAACCCGGGACACUGGAGCUAGCACCAAAGCCUACGUGGAGAGGAUCAGGACAUCCUGUUGAGCACCAGAACAUUUCCUUCCCCAAGAAAAGGAAAUACAAAUGGAUUUAUUCUCAGGGCUACAGAUUUAGGCUGUGCUUAACACCAGGCCACUGUACAAUCACCAGGACUUUUCUGGAUGUGGAGCAACUUCAUUUGAUUAUUUCAGAAUGCUUUGUAAACACGGCAGACACGGACAAAGCGUGGUUGAAGCAUUUCAGUUGUACUUGUCUCUCAUUUUCUACACGUGUUUUCCCAAAAGCUGCUUUCCCAAAAGGAGCCUGGGGAGAGGCCUUAAUCA